rnacentral:rRNA from 1 species
AUUGAACGCUGGCGGCAGGCCUAACACAUGCAAGUCGAGCGGAAGCACGGUGCUUGCUUCUGGUUUCGGCGGCGGAGGGGUGAGUAAUGCAUAGGAAUAUGCCUGGCUGUGGGUGAUAACGUCCGGAAGCGGGCGAUAAUACCGCAUACGUGCAGAGGGCGUAAGUGGGGGAGCUUGGGACCUUCCGACAUCAGAUGAGUCUAUGUCGGAUUAGCUAGUUGGUGGGGUAAAGGCCUACCAAGGCGACGAUCCGUAGCUGGUCUGAGAGGAUGAUCAGCCACACUGGAACUGAGACACGGUCCAGACUCCUACGGGAGGCAGCAGUGGGGAAUAUUGGACAAUGGGCGAAAGCCUGAUCCAGCCAUGCCGCGUGUGUGAAGAAGGUCUUCGGAUUGUAAAGCACUUUUGUUGGGGAAGAAGAGCAGUAAGUUAAUACCUCGCUGUUUUGACGUUACCAACAGAAUAAGCACCGGCUAACUUCGUG